rnacentral:lncRNA from 1 species
AAAGAGAAGCUAACAAAGGAAACCCUCUUCAAAAAAUGGGAUUUCCUUGGCCUUAGCAGUUCUGGUGUGUGCAUUGCCAACACUAGGUAGGAAGAAUUUGGCUGAAUGUUUGUGACUAAAUAGCGGCCUGGCUCAAACCUCCCAAAGAGAGGGAAUUCACCAUGCGUUCCACAGUUUUAUUCUGAGGAAGAAGCUAACAGAAACAGAAUUUUAGAGCCUUAGAGCUCUCAUUACAAAAUGUCCCUCACUGUAAGUGGUGCAUACUGAGCCCAGUUUAGAUGUAUGUACUGAGCCCAGUACAAAUGUAUGUACUGAGCCCAGAGCUAUUCGGCCUAUUGGUGCUGGGGUGAUUAGGAUUAGAUGACGACACCUCCAAUGAGUUAGUCUGUGAUGCUGUGUCCUAGAUUGUGCUCAGGAUUAAAGACCUGAUUAAAAGACCUUUUUGACUGAAGAAUGUUCUUAAACCUGAGCAUCCAAUCAGCUUUAAACGAGUUGCAAUUAAUCAUAAUGCUAUGUGUUCAUUGUUAAUUGCAGAUGAAAUGCCAGUGUUGAUAGAAAUUACCUCUAAAGCCUUGAUUCUGGAAGAAGCUAGAGAAAUGGCUCUUGGGGUUCUAAUACUGACAUUUCUUUGGUGACUGGUUCCCAUGAAUGACCUCAACUUCCACUGAAAUCCACAAGAAAACCAAAAAAUGCAAACCACAAGCCUGAAUAUUUCUGCAAAUUACCUGUGUCUUGAACAGUUUGGAUACGUGCUUGAUCUUUUGUGGCAAUGUAAUACUAGUGCCAGGACUCCACUUGUGGUAUCACUUUUAAGCUUUGAUUGCUACCAAGUGGGGAUAUAAGGGAUGAGAUGUCUGGAGCUGCUGCAGCCACUUUGUGACUAUGAAGGAAGCUCCCACAUAAAGGAACCUCCCACAUGGCAGAGUUGAAAGAUGGGAAGAAUUCCCAGUCUUUGAUGGUCUUGUUAAGCUACUGAGUUAAGUGAUCCUAUAGCUGUCCUACCUUGGGACUUAUUAUAAAAGAAUGUGAGUAAAAGACAUAUAGUUGGAAGGCCAGGUGUGGUGGCUCAUGCCAGUAAUCCUAGCACUUUGGGAGGCUGAGGCGGGAGGGUCAUGGGGGCUCAGGAGUUCAAAUCCAGCCUGCACAACAUAGUGAGACCUUGUCUCUACAAAAAAAUACGUAUAUUAAAGGGUGGGAAAAAAAAGAAAAACAUAUAAUUGGAGCCAAAAUCAUUCUAACUGCUAACACUGAUAGUUCUAAAGAAGUAAGCACA